rnacentral:rRNA from 1 species
GACGAACGCUGGCGGCGUGCUUAACACAUGCAAGUCGAACGGAAAGGCCCUGCUUUUGUGGGGUGCUCGAGUGGCGAACGGGUGAGUAACACGUGAGUAACCUGCCCUUGACUUUGGGAUAACUUCAGGAAACUGGGGCUAAUACCGGAUAGGAGCUCCUGCUGCAUGGUGGGGGUUGGAAAGUUUCGGCGGUUGGGGAUGGACUCGCGGCUUAUCAGCUUGUUGGUGGGGUAGUGGCUUACCAAGGCUUUGACGGGUAGCCGGCCUGAGAGGGUGACCGGCCACAUUGGGACUGGGAUACGGCCCAGACUCCUACGGGAGGCAGCAGUGGGGAAUAUUGCACAAUGGGCGGAAGCCUGAUGCAGCAACGCCGCGUGCGGGAUGACGGCCUUCGGGUUGUAAACCGCUUUCGCCUCUGACGAAGCGUGAGUGACGGUAAUGGGUAAAGAAGCACCGGCUAACUACGUG